AAAUAAGAAGCAAUUUGCAUUUAAUUUCGACUUAAAAGACAGAGUUAAAAUAACUCCUUAUUUA
rnacentral:tRNA from 1 species